UAAAUAUCUUGCGAAACAAGUAGAGAUUGGUAAUUGAGAGACACAAGUUCAGAGGUUUGCUGAAUUGAGCUCAUUGAAGGCGAACUUCCGUUGCUUACUGGCAAUCUUGAUCUGUAUACUUCGCUUCUUUUUUUCUUUCUUUUUGACUUUGCUUCGCUUUUUGUAUCAACCAGGAAACAUUAUCACCAAGUUCGGCAUCCUUGAAUAGGUUAUAUGUCGUUUUCUUUACCUAGACUGUGAAAAUUCUGUGAUAUUGGUUCCCACAGGUGUUAUUUUUAGCCACUUCAGGUCUGUCCAGUUGGAAAUCACAACUGUAACCUAGUAAAAUUGCGUAUUUGAGCUUAUGAACAACGUUUUACUGCUCAAAAUACAAAGAGGUAUAUGGAUAGAACCGUGGAGCUUUAGUUUUCGCCAUCAUUUUCAGGCAUAAAAGCUGCAGGAGGUAUUAUUGCAUCAUUCUCUAAAAUUUGCAGAAGUUACGCGCAACCAAGGAGAAAGAAGAAAGAACGAGACUUGACACAGAAGCUAUAGAGCUGUAAAGCGUUGAUCAAAGAAGCUCAGAAGGAGCUGGAUAAGAGGUGAAACGAGAUGGAGAAAGUGGUUAAGGGCUUAAAACUUGAGGAAGAGACAUUUAGUGAUCGAAUGAGAGCUGAGGAGAAUGGUUUGAUCGUGAGAAAGAAGAGGUGGGUCGUAGAGUUGGGACUGUUGCUAAUGCUACUUCUUGAGCCUCAAUCGUAGGAAUGAUAUUAGGUGCUGCUAGGGAUGUUUGUUGCGUUUUGACUUUUGGAUUCCCGUGCAUGCACAACCUGAUAUUUUUUUUGGUUGGCUUUGGCGGCCAUGAGGGAAUGUUUAACGUUGACGUAGCACUUUGAACCUGCUCAAGCUUUAUUUAGAUUGUAUGACUGGAGAUAGUUAGAAAUGUCCUGUAGAUCACUUAUUCAUAUGGCGGUUGGGUCGACGGUUGACUGCGUAUAUGGAGAAACUCAGAGCGGAUGUAAUGAUGAAGAAUGAGACGAUAGUGUUCUUGCCGAAGUAAUGAAGUCACAUUUAGGAAGUCCCUUCCAUUAAUUACUGCUCAA